GACGAACGCUGGCGGCGUGCUUAACACAUGCAAGUCGAACGGAAAGGCCCUGCUUUUGUGGGGUGCUCGAGUGGCGAACGGGUGAGUAACACGUGAGUAACCUGCCCUUGACUUUGGGAUAACUUCAGGAAACUGGGGCUAAUACCGGAUAGGAGCUCCUGCUGCAUGGUGGGGGUUGGAAAGUUUCGGCGGUUGGGGAUGGACUCGCGGCUUAUCAGCUUGUUGGUGGGGUAGUGGCUUACCAAGGCUUUGACGGGUAGCCGGCCUGAGAGGGUGACCGGCCACAUGGGGACUGAGAUACGGCCCAGACUCCUACGGGAGGCAGCAGUGGGGAGUAUUGCACAAUGGGCGGAAGCCUGAUGCAGCAACGCCGCGUGCGGGAUGACGGCCUUCGGGUUGUAAACCGCUUUCGCCUGUGACGAAGCGCGAGUGACGGUAAUGGGUAAAGAAGCACCGGCUAACUACGUG
rnacentral:rRNA from 1 species